UGAGGAAUAUUGGUCAAUGGACGAGAGUCUGAACCAGCGAAGUAGCGUGCAGGAUGACGGCCCUAUGGGUUGUAAACUGCUUUUGUUUGGGAAUAAAGUGAGGGACGUGUCCCUUAUUGCAUGUACCAUACGAAUAAGGACCGGCUAAUUCCGUGCCAGCAGCCGCGGUAAUACGGAAGGUCCAGGCGUUAUCCGGAUUUAUUGGGUUUAAAGGGAGCGUAGGCUGUUUGUUAAGCGUGUUGUGAAAUGUAAGAGCUCAACUUUUAGAUUGCAGCUCGAACUGGCAGACUUGAGUGCGCACAACGUAGGCGGAAUUCAUGGUGUAGCGGUGAAAUGCUUAGAUAUCAUGACGAACUCCGAUUGCGAAGGCAGCUUACGGGAGCGCAACUGACGCUAAAGCUCGAAGGUGCGGGUAUCGAACAGG
rnacentral:rRNA from 1 species